GAAGCCGGGCACCCUCACUUACUUCUGGGCUGCUCCUUUUCCCCCCAGCCUCCCCUUCUGGCCCCUGCCUCCGCCGGAGGGGCGAGGGCAGAGGGGGGAGAAGAGAAAAGUGAGCUAAGAAACCGGCGGGGAAGCGGGCACACGGCGCGGCCAGGCGCGCACCCACGCGCGGGGCUGUGCACGCGUGUAUUUGUGGUUUUAAAGGAGGAAAAUCCGGCUGGGAAUCCACAGUGGAGUGCUGUAGAGCCUCGGUAGGGCGCGGCGGGAGCAGCAGCCGAGGGUAGACCCCCUACGGACGCGGGGAGAGCCGCCCGUCUCUGCAUACACCGCGACCGGCCGGGGGACGGAGAGAGGAGAGGAAAAAGAGUGAAAAAUAAAGCAUAAAAAAAAAGCAAAACCUGAAAAAAAAGAAACAACAAACAAACACAAAACCUCCUCAAAGAGAGGGAGAAACACCAGCUCCCAGCCACGCAUCCGUGCCCGCUCGCCCCCAGCCCCGCAAAAGGACUCAGCGCCCCGCACCUCUCCCCGCUGCACCCCGCUCUGUGCCGCAGAAAUAUCGGGGUCCCCCCUGCCGCAGGUGCCGAGGGGAUGGGGAAAGUGCCCAAAGCCCCCAAAAGUGCCUUUUUAUCCCCCUGCUCAGCCCCCACGGACGGGGAUGCUCGGAGGCUCGGUCUGAAAAGACGAGGCUGCGGCAUCCCCGUCGAGGCUGCCGGGGCGAAAUUCGCUCUCACCGAAGAGGGGAUGAGUUGGGGCCGGGGAAGGCUUUGAGGAUGGGGAGAGGAAACCUUCCCCGGUAAGAGGAGAGCAACAGCCUUCUGGUUCCCAAGUAACCCGGCCACCCGGCCCCGAGGAGGUCACCUUUCGGGGACAGAGGGGGAGAAGGUGGGGGUGCAAAAUGCAGGAUAGUCACAGAUUGUUGCUGAUGUUGAAUUUCCUGAGGAAAAAAAAAAAAAAAAAGGCUUUCCUGUCUCGAAUCUGACAAAGUAAACAGGAUUAAUUCACCAUAUGCAAAAAAAUGCAUUAAUACCGUCCUGACAAACGCAGAAAUCAGAAGAGAAAGCGGUUUUAGCAGGACCUACGAUAGGAACAGUUUGAACGUAUGAUCGUAAAAAUGAAAAGCCAUUGAUACACGCUUAAAAGCUGCCGUAUACGCUGAUUGCUCAAGCAUUAAUGAAGAAUGCCCCAGAUUAACUAUUUGCUCUUGCAGGGAUGUAGCCAUAUAACUAUCUAUUAGCACCAUUAGAUGCCUUGCUAUUUAUUUGAAAACACCUCUGCGAGGGGGUAGAGGCAGAAGAGGCGAAGGUAGAAAUGGUCUGCAGCUAAUUCUGCUAAAUAAUAUCUGCAAGCCGAGCGCCUCGAGAAGAAGGGGGAGAUUCCCAACUGUCCUUCUCCGAGCCCAGUCACAAUAGAACCGCUCUCUUUGAAAAGUCAGACUGUCUUGGUUUCCCCAAAUAAAUAAACGCAUCCCUCCUGC